GCUUGCUCAUGUCCAUUCCAUAUUAGGGGACUCCAAAGCAGUACCCUGGAGGUGUGUAGGAAUUCACAAACGUGUAUAUUGCAACACAGCUCUGCCAAACCCAGCGUCAUCCCUGGCCUGCUGAGUGAUCGCAUAAUGAGCGGUAAACGUAUGGACAGAGGACACUGUGGCUCUACAGAUGGCCUGGAUAGGGAUGUGCACCAGGAAGGCCACUGAAGACGCCUGCGCUCUCGUUGAGUGAGCUCUGACAAUCGGUGGUGGCGGAACCUCCCACCAGGUCGUAACAGGUCCUUAUGCACAAGGUGAUCCAAUUGGAAAUCCUCUGCAAGGACACCCAGGUGACCCUUCCUCCUAUUCGCUGUAGUGAUGAAGAGUAGAUUUGAUUUACGGAAGGGUUUGGUAUGUUCAAAGUAAAAAGCCCUCCGGAUGUCCAGGGUGUAAAGACACCUCUCUUCACUGGUCUUGUGCUGUUUGGGACAGAACACUGGAAGGAAGAUGUCCUGGUUCAUAUGGAAGGUGGAAACCACCUUUGGCAGGAAGGCCAGGUGGGGCCGCAACUGAACCUUUUCCUUGUAGAAGACAGUGUACAGUGGUUCUGAGGUCAAGACUUUAGUUUCCGAGACCCAUCUUACUGACGCCACCGCCACCAGGAAAGCGACCUUCCAUGACGGAUGAGAAAGGGAGCAGAAACCCAGCAGUUCAAAGGGUGGCCCAGUGAGCCUAAAGAGGACCUGCCGGAAGAGUCUCUCCAGUCCUUUCAAGAACCUGACAUGUCAUGGGAGAACACCGUCUGUCCUUGGACUGGCGGGUGAAAAACGGAGAUGGCUGCAAGAUGCACUCUAAUGGCAGUGUGCGCCAGGCCCUGGUUCCUCAAAUGGAGCAAGUAAUCCAGGAUGGCCUGUAUGGAGGAACGCGAGGGAGAGAUGCCCCAUUUGGAUGCCCAGCAGGAAAACCUUGUUCACUUGGCAAGGUAAGUCAGUCUAGCUGAGGGCUUCCUACCUUCCAGGAAGACCUGUUGGACUCCUUCUGAACAGGUCCGCUCCUCCAGGUUCAGCUACACAGCAUCCAUGUUGAGAGGUGGAGAGACCCAAAGUUGGGGUGUAAGAGCCAGCCGCAGUCCUGCGACAGGUCUGUUUGGUUGGGCAGGGGCCAGGGAGGGGCCGCUGACAGGCACAUGAAUGUGCCGAACCAAUGCUGGCAAGGCCACACCAGGGCAAUCAUGAUAACCUGCACCUGGUCUCUUGAUCUUUGUCAGGGCCCUGCUGAUGAGUGGAAUCAGAGGGGACGCGUACAUCAGGCUCCCUAACCACGACAGGAGGAAGGCAUCGGAGAAGGUGUCCUUGCUCAGACCCUGUCAAGAAAUCGGUGGCAUUUCCUGUUCUGUCUGGUAGCAAACAGAUCCACUUGGAGAGCUCCUCACUUUUGGAAAAUCAUGCAGUGAUCACUCAUGGUGAGAGACGAAGUCCCUGCUUAGCUGUUCUGCCUGCGUAUUCCUGACACCGGGAAGGUAACAAGCUUCCAGGUGGAUCUCGUGGCUGAUGCAGAAGUCCCAUAGACGGAGUCCCUCCUGACAGAGAGCAGACGAGUGUUCUACAUCAACAGACAAGGGGGAGCGCAUGGGGGCUCUGUUGUCCAUUAGGACUCGUACCACCUUGCCCGACAGGUGGAGCAAGAAGACGCUGCAUGCCAGCCGGACUGCUCUGAGCUCUUUGAUGUUUAUGUGAACUGCGCCUCCUCUGGGGACCACAUCCCCUGUGUUUGGAGGUUGCCGAGAUGUGCCCCCCAGCCGAGGUCCAAGGUGUCCAACACCAAGUCGAUGGAGUGAGGGUGGUUGUCGAACUGAACCCCUUCCAGGACUGUCCUGCAGUCAGUCUACCAUCUCAGUGAGUAGGCCCAGAGAGCGGCAUGUGGCUUGAAGCACCACGACAUCCCUUUGGACUUGAAACCUGGAGCCGCCCUGGAUGAGCCAGUCAUUGAGGUCGAGCCCGACUGGGCAGAGGAUGGAGGCGGGUGGCUCAAGUGGCACUUGUAAUCUUUGGCUUGUUUAUGAGGCUGGUCAUGCUGAGUCUGACUCUCCUGGCCCUGUGGCUGCUGCAGUUUGAACCACUUACACACCGGAGCUGGGACAGAAAGGCCAAGGGUUUUCAGGGUGGUGUGGGAGUCCUUAAGGCCAUGCAAUUUGCUGUCUGUUUGCUCCACAAGUAGGGCUCGGCCAUCAAAUGGCAAGUCCUGCAAUGACUGUUGGGCCUCAGUGGACAACCCAGAAGAGCAGCCAAGAGACGCGCCGCAUGGAGAUAGCGGAAGCCAUGGUGCGGGCAGCAGCAUCAGACAGCGCCUUGAGGGCCAUCCUGGCCCUCAUCAAGGAUCGCUUGGAAUUCCUUCUUGGAUGCCUUAGGGAGUGACCCUUUGAAGUGGGCCAGGGCUUGCCUCAUAUUAAAGUCAUAUCAGCCAAGGAGGGAUUGCUGAAAGCUGGAAGAUGAAUAAACCUUACAACCAAAGAGAUCCAGCCUCCUCGAGUCUU